AAAGCGCCUGUCACGGACGUCAUGGUUUGCAGCGCGGUCUUCGACGACUCGGUGGACGCUGCGGAAGAUCGCAGGGGAACGCGAUUACGUAAUGUAAUGAAAUACAACUGAGGCGCAACGAUUCGCUGCAUCAGUGGCGCACACACAAUAGGUAGCGUGGAGAGUAUCGAUAAAAUUUUUAAAAAACUUUCGAGUGUGUUGAGAAGCACGUCCCUUGAGAGAAGGAACUGAUAAAGUGUUGCAAUAAACUGAUUACUACGUAUUGAAACACUUUUUUCUUAACUGCUUCCCGUUUUCAGUGACUAAUGACGGCUAGAAUUUUUUAAUUUUUUUAAUUUUUUACGCUGAAAAUGACUCCAAAGCGAACGAAUUCGUUUGUUCGUUCGUUCGUUCGUUUGUAAUUUAGAAAUGAAUAAAUGAUUUAAUAUUAAUACUCGUGAUUGCGCACGUUUAUCCGCACUGAUUCUAAUUAGCCUAUUUCCCAAUUAUUAAUUGCGUUCAAAUUUCGAGUGUCCGGAACUAAUUAAUUGUUACUUUUUCUCAAGUAGUAAAACACGCAAUAUUAAAUCGUAUUUUUUCUCAAGCUCCUUUUUUCCUACAAACAUAUUCUCAGUUUUCUAUUUUGAGAAAGAGCUCUUUCCGUCGUCUUAUCUCCAACUCUCUUCCCUUCUGCCAAGAAAAGUGCUCAUACGUACUGAUUAUGGUUGUCGGACUGUUGCUACAUUCCGUCUCGAUCUUUACUAUCGGCAGCGCGCUUUGUUGUUUUCUUUUGUUCUCAGUCAGCACUAAUCGCGCGCCGCCGAUAUCACCCAGAAGCUGUAUCGAGGGUGGAGGCGGUGGCAGAAGGAGUGGCGGCGGUGCAAC